UGACUGUCAGUGUGGCAUGGUGAAUUAUGCUGAACUCUCGUGUAUUUUAUAAGACAAAGUACAGCCGAUUGUUUAAGACAGACGUCCCAGGUGUGGAUGUGUGGGUGCUUAAGACAGCAGACUGCUGCUUUGCUGGGCCAGGCCUGGGUUUAUUUAUUACAAGCAGUUCAGGAAGCACAGACAUCACGUUGUUCACUUGCUUCAUUGAUGAAUGUAAUAAUUGUUCUCGUUCAUGCCCUUUGCCCCUGGUGUCAGGGCUGUCCACACUGGGGACCAUUGGUGCCCCCAUGAUUAUUAGCUCCCUGAAGCCUGGUGGGUCGUCAGGGCUUCUGUCCGGUGUUUAAAGACCCAUCCCAGACAAGCCCAAACCACCUCAGUUUGAAGAGACAUAGAGGGACAGGCAGACGGGGCCUCAGAGGGAUCCAGCCUCAUCCAGCCUCCUGGCAACCUCAGGAGAGCAGGCACAGCCAUGCUGGUUCCCUUCCAGCCCCGACUCCCAGGCUGAGUCGCUUUGCACCAGCUGAACAUCGUGGUUGCAUUUUGGUCUCUACCGUGAGGUCUGUAUUUUCUUGGUGUGCACCGGUGUCUGCCUGUCCACUGUCUCGUACCCAGGAGGCAUGUGCAGUUCUUUGUGUCCCUACAGGGCCUCUCCUCCAUCGUCUUCUCCUUUCCUGGCGCUCCCAGCCUUUCCCAUGGAACAGCCCACAGUUGCAGGAUUUUCUGUCUGUAUGUCUGUCCCCCUGAUCCUGAAGCCCAAAGGUGGUAGGCGUGAAGUUACAGAAGUCUGUGUCUUCAGGUACAAUGAGUAGGUGGCCAGUGGCCAGCUUCUUAGCCCCGUCCUGGUGCUUCCCCGACCCUUCUCAUCCGCUCAGGCCCCUGUCCUCCUUGUACACAGCUGCAGCUCUCCCUGCCAUGUCCACACAAGGCACAAGGGUGUCCCCAGCAGAACUGCAGGCCUGGGAUGCUGGUAUCCAGCACGUUCAAGCCAGGCGGCCUCCGGCAGGCUCUUGCCACACCUUCGUUUCCUUAUCUGUAAACCAGGGAUAGUGGUCUCCCGGCCUCCCCAGGACCCAGCCCUCCCUGGUCUCCCCACCUCCCCGUGGCCCCUGUUUUGAGGCUGAGUCCGCUGCCCCUCAGUGUUAGAUCUCCUCGGAGAGGAACCUGUGGCUUUGCUGCCCAUCCCUGCUUCCUGCCCUCGACUGGGCAGUUCCUUAACAGAUCAGGGAUCAGGAACGUGACUGCCCUUGCUCAUCUGCUGGCCCUCCACAUUUGCCCAGUCCCUCGGUCUCUCUGCCUCCGUUUCCUCCCAGUUUGAUGAGGAUAAUCACGAAGCACAUCAGGACUGUUGGGUUAGAUGAAGUCAUGCAGGUAAAGCUGCUGUGCAGCUGCAGGCAUGUCAGCAUGGCUGGCAGUCUCUGUGCCUGGCUGAGCCUGCUCAGAGCCACAGUGACCUCCCAGGUGUCCUCCUCCCCUGCUCCCGUCGUGACAUCUGGGACUCUAUCCCCCUGCCGCCCUCCAGGGUCUCCUGCUGCUUCUGCCUGUUUGCUCUCUCCUCAGUCUCCCUGCAGAAGAGCUUCCAAGUGGAGGAGUCACAUGACUGGGGUGGCACCGUCAAGGAGAGGCAGUAGCCGCGAGUCCAGUGGGUCUCAGGGCAAGCCAAGUCAAAGGGCUGGGGCCUAAGACAACAGGGAUAGGAGUCAACGCACAUCUGUGAGAUGCUGGGGAAGCAGCAUCAACAUGACUUGGGGACCCCCUGGGCCCACAGCUCUCUGCAUGGAAAGGGAGGAAGGAGCCAAGCUGGUGAGCACCCAGCCAGUGUUUUGUGGACAUGAACAGUUCUGGUUCUGGAGAGGGAUCUUCGUUGGGCUUGAUAGAGACAUGUGCUUUCGGACUGUAGAUGUCAUGAGUUUCUGAGGAAAGGUCAGCAUGACAGGCAAGUGACAGACAUCAGAGUCAGUAAAGAUGGAGCGUGGAGAGGCAGGGCCUGGGAGUGGAGAGGCGGGUCCUGGGAGCAGAGAGGAGGGGCCUAGGAAUGGAGAGGUGGGGCCUAGGAGUGGAAGGGUGUGGUCUUGGAGUGGAGAGGUGGGGCCUGGGAGCAGAGAGGAGGGGCCUAGGAAUGGAGAGGUGGGGCCUAGGAGUGGAAAGGUGUGGUCUUGGAGUGGAGAGGCGGGGCCUGCGUGGAGAGGCAGGGUCUCUCAGAAGACCCCUUUUUGGGAUCCAGAAUCACUAGGAGCAGGGUAAGCUGUGUGGCAUCAGCGCUUGCAUCCUGCAGGGAGUUACCUACCAGGGCUGGGCCGGGACUGGCCACAACCUUGACAGAUGAAGUUUGACCAGACCAAGUGAGUCCUCAUGGUCUGAUACGUAAGCCAGAUGUGAGUUACCAAUUUGCACCAGGGGCUGUGCUCCCCCAGUGGCUGGCCUGCCCUCCACCAUAUAACCCACUGGCAGCACCUCACCGUAGAUGGGACCUGGCAGGGUGCCUGUUCUAGUCUUCACCCCAGCUCCCCCCUUGGCUGGGCCCAGCAGCUGGCCUCUCAGGGCCCUAUGUGCCCCUCGGAUGGGGGUCCUUGAGGGGAGCUUCAUGUGCUUGUCUUAAGUCGAUGGGUCUGGACAAGGGUCUUAGAUGUGGCACAGUCAGCCAGCCGGUCUGUGUGUGCGUCCCUCCUCAGAGGGGGCCCCAGCUUCUGCACAGUCCGCUCACGUGCCCUUCCGCAGCCUGGGCACUGCAGGCAGGGGGAGGGGCUGCCACCCAGGCAAGGCCAGCUCGGCAGUCUGAAGGAACGGCUGGGCAGCCACCUCUGACCACACGUGUGUCCGUGCCGGCGUGGUUAUCUGGGCUGCCUACACAGUUCACGCUAACAUCGUGGCUCACGCUGACAUCGUGGCUGUUGAUGCCACGUGUUGUGAGGCCUGUGUCAGCUCUUCUCCUGUAUUCCAGGGCAACUCCAACAACAUUGCCACCGUGGACAUCUCCGCAGGCUUCGUGGGCUUAGACACCUACGUGGAAAUCCCAGCCGUGCUCCUGACAGCGUUUGGGACGUACGCAGGGCCUGUGCUGUGGGCCAGCCACUUAGUGCACUUCCUGAGCUCAGAAACACGCAGCGGUUCAGCACUGAGUCAUGCUUGCUUCUGCUACGCACUGAUUUGUUCUAUUCCAGUUUCCACAUACAUCGUUUUGGUGACAUCUCUGCGUUAUCAUUUAUUUAUAUGGAGUGUAUUUUCUCCAAAACUUCUCUACGAGGGAAUGCAUCUGCUCAUUACAGCUGCUGUCUGUGUAUUCUUCACGGCAAUGGAUCAAACCAGACUCACACAGUCUUAGACUAAGCUGAACACUGGAAAAAUAAUACAUGCUUAAAGUCUGCUGUUAUUCUAAAAUGAAAGAUAUGAAUUCAACAAAGUUGAUGGAUAAGUUUAAUUUCUUUGACUGCUGUACCUGAAUUUAGACUAAGCAGUAAAUAGUUUAAUAAAAGAUCACUUUAAUAUA
rnacentral:sRNA from 1 species